GUAUAAACAUAUUCUGCUUCGGUUUGUCUAAAAUGUUCGGGCCAAAUAAUCAGUGUCAUACCAGUUGAAACAAAUUUGAUUAUUUAAAGAGUCAAAUACAUAUACUAAUAUUUUGAAAUACUUCUACUCUAAUUAAAUAUUUAAACCCAACAACCCUCUUUUUUACAAAUGUAACAUUUUUCUUCAUUUUAUGAAAUGGCUGUAUAUGAGAAGUCAGCAAUCCAGAACGAAUUUGUAAUUCUUGACUGUAUUUAGAAGAAUUACAUACAUAAGAAAAGAGUAAAAUGCAUUUUCAUCGGUUUGGCCACUUUUGCGAUUUUCGUCCAAAGGUGUAAAUGUGUAAUUAUGUACUCUGGUGGGGUCAUUUUUUUGCUUGUCACGUGUGCCAAACAUGUUGCGAUGAUUAAUAUGAUAAUAAUAGUAUAUAAAGUGCCAAAAAGAACUCACGAGGAGUAUGUUACAACUUGAAUCCAUAGGCAGCACAACAAGCGCUAAUUCUAACUUUCUAAGUUUAGCCUUAAGGAUUAGUAUAAGCGGCAAUAAGAAAAAGUAGCCACACAGAUGUGGAACCCCACAAUUUCAUCGGUGAAGAAUGAACCAUGUAUGUAAUUGGAUAAAAAGUUUCAAGCUUUCAUAAAAGGUUAGCAAUUUCUAAUGAAAAAAACACUAAGAGCGUGUAUUAGAAUACAUACUUCCUCCUGCAUAUCAACUUAUGUCAAGUGACAUGUGACAGAUAGUACGUAGCACGGAAUACUGGCAGAGUGGCAGUAGGGUUAGAUAGACAAAAACGUUGUUGAACAACAGGUUAACAUUACCUUGAUAAGCAAGAAUAGCAAUAUAACAUUUAUUAACCUAUGUUGUCAAAACUGCACUAGGCGCAGAAGCACAGGGAAAGCGUGCAGUUCAGGCGAUCAUACGCAGUUUCUAGCUAAAUUCCGGCCAAAGUUCGUCCAUGUUUGAACAUGUCUAAAACCCCUAAACAUGCCUGGAAUCAACCUAAAAUAACAUAAACUAGCCCUAAACAAGGCUAAAAGUCUAAAACAUGUCUAAAACCCUUAAAAUGGUAUUUUUAUACUAUGCACCUCGCUUAAAAGAACCUUAGUUAUUUUAGCACCUUGCAACUAGGCUCCGCACAAGACCUAUACGCCUCUUUAGUGCACCUUUGACAACAUAGAUUAUAACCACCUAUCAACAUUUUACAACCAAUAACCCUGGCAUCUCACACCUAUACAACUACAUGCAAGCAAAAUUUAAUAGUUUCUUAAUCACAAAUAAUAUCUUUAAGCAUACGAAACAUAAAAGAAGAUGCUUAAGCCUUCCAAUACUUAAAGAAUGGUACUAGAUCAAAGCACAAAUGCAAAUUUAUCAUUCUAUAGCUUCUGUCCAGCAUUAAUAUCAAGUAAGGGGCUGUUUGUUGGCUCUUAAUGGUUCAGACCUCUUACUGAUUCAGCACUUAAUGGUUCAGACUGUUUGUUUCAUGAGCAGAUGUCUGAAUGGUUCAGACAUUUGCCUCUGAAUGGUUAAGAUUUAUACAGAGUCUGAAUGGUUAAGACCUCUAAUUUGAAUUGGUCAGACAUUUGCCUCUGAACGGUUAAGCAUUAUACAGGCUGUUAAUAGUUCAGAACUCUUACUGAUUCAGCACUUAAUGAUUCAGACCUUUUUACUGGUUCAGCACUUAACCAUUCAGGUGUUGCCAAACAGCCCCUAACACUGUAUUUCCAGAAUCUCAUAUGAUUCAACAAUAUGCCAAUCCAUAAACAAACUCAAAACACUUAUUCAAUUCAAAACCUAAUCCAAUACACAUCUGCAGAUCCAUAUAAUAAAAAUAAAAUAUACAUAUAUAAAAUUAUGUAUGUAUACCUUCCUGAACUUCUUCACCGGCGGUUCGUUCACCAAACACCUGAGAGAAUUUCCACUCUAGCGCACCAUCUCCUCCUUCGCCACCUUUCAUCUCCUCCUUUUCUUAUUAUUAUUAUAUCAAUUACACGAUUAAUCGAUCCAACUCAAUCCAAACCUAACGCAAAUCAGCAAAAACAAUCGUCCGAUCGGUCAUACAGUAACUAUUUCAUCGAGAUCGUAUCCUUCAAAUCGUCAGUUAAUUCCAUCAACAAACGGAUAUAAUGAUGUGCCUGUUUUAGAUUCAUUGAUUAACGAUCAUCGUUGUAAAUUUGUAAUCGUAAUUAACGAAAACAUCACGAAAUCGAUUCAUUUACAGGUUGAGAUUCUGUUUUUAUUUUCUCUCUCUUGUUCGAACACUUUCUCUCUCUAAAAUUGGGGAAGGGGGAAUUCGGGAGAUUGGAGUU
rnacentral:lncRNA from 1 species